CAGCCGCCGCGGGAAUACGUAGGGUGCGAGCGUUAAUCGGAAUUACUGGGCGUAAAGCGUGCGCAGGCGGUUCGUUAAGACAGAUGUGAAAUCCCCGGGCUUAACCUGGGAACUGCGUUUGUGACUGGCGAGCUAGAGUAUGGCAGAGGGGGGUAGAAUUCCACGUGUAGCAGUGAAAUGCGUAGAGAUGUGGAGGAAUACCGAUGGCGAAGGCAGCCCCCUGGGCCAAUACUGACGCUCAUGCACGAAAGCGUGGGGAGCAAACAGGAUUAGAUACCCCCGUAGUCCCUGUCUCUUAUAC
rnacentral:rRNA from 1 species